rnacentral:rRNA from 1 species
CAGUGGGGAAUUUUACGCAAUGGGGGAAACCCUGACGUAGCGACACCGCGUGAGCGAAGAAGCCCUUUGGGGUGUAAAGCUCUGUCAGCAGGAACGAAUAAAAUGACGGUACCUGCAGAGGAAGCAUCGGCUAACUACGUGCCAGCAGCCGCGGUAAGACGUAGGAUGCAAGCGUUGUCCGGAUUUAUUGGGCGUAAAGAGUUCGUAGGCGGUUUGUUAAGUUUGAUGUUAAAGAUCGGGGCCUAACCCUGGGAGUGCAUUGAAUACUGGCAGACUGGAGUGCAGUAGAGGCGAGUGGAAUUCCCAGUGUAGCGGUGAAAUGCGUAGAUAUUGGGAAGAACACCGGUGGCGCAGGCGACUCGCUGGGCUGUAACUGACGCUGAGGAACGAAAGCUAGGGGAGCAAAUGGGAUUAGAUACCCCAGUAGUCCUAGCUGUAAACGAUGGAUACUAGGCGUUGCAGGUAUCGACCCCUGCAGUGCCGCAGUUAACGCG